AAUAGCGAAGGCGUGGGACACGAGGAUGGCGUGGGCGGCAGGAAACACGCACCCCUUAGAAGUCAGAACUGGAGCCAAGAGUCCCUGGGAAAAAAUAUGAUAAAACUGAUCCUUGGAGAAAAUGCUCAUUACUAUAAUACCUCAUGAAAUGACAUCACAUUUCUGGAACAGCCUUGCACACUCAUGACUCUCUUUCUGUGGAUCAAGUUUCCCCUCUACCAGAAAUGUCCUUUCACCAUCAGCCUUGGUGACUUUGUUCCUGAUCAGCUCAAAGAGUACAUUCUUCUCUAUCCAAGACAUAAUCACUUCCUCUCAGCACAGCACUAUAAUCUGCACAUACUUGUAUUACAUAACUUAAAUAAAUAACUGAAUAAA